ACAUGCAAGUCGAACGGGGUGGUUCGUCCCGAGGAUUGACGGUGCUUGCACCUGAUUGACUCACUUGAAUCACUUAGUGGCGGACGGGUGAGUAACGCGUGGGAAACCUGCCCUAUACUGGGGGAUAGCAGUUGGAAACGACUGAUAAUACCGCAUAAGCGCACAGCAUCGCAUGAUGCAGUGUGAAAAACUCCGGUGGUAUAGGAUGGUCCCGCGUCUGAUUAGCUAGUUGGUGAGGUAACGGCCCACCAAGGCGACGAUCAGUAGCCGGCCUGAGAGGGUGUACGGCCACAUUGGGACUGAGACACGGCCCAAACUCCUACGGGAGGCAGCAGUGGGGAAUAUUGGACAAUGGGGGGCAACCCUGAUCCAGCCGACGCCGCGUGAACGAAGAAGUAUCUCGGUAUGUAAAGUUCUAUCAGCAGGGAAGAUAAUGACGGUACCUGACUAAGAAGCACCGGCUAAAUACGUGCCAGCAGCCGC
rnacentral:rRNA from 1 species